rnacentral:rRNA from 1 species
CCCUUAGAUGUUCUGGGCCGCACACGCGCUACACUGAAGGAGGCAGCGUGUACUCCUGGAUCGAAAGAUUUGGGUAACCCGCGAAUCUCCUUCGUGCUAGGGAUUGAGGUUUGCAAUUAUCCUUCAUGAACGAGGAAUUCCCAGUAAGUGCAAGUCAUAAGCUUGCGCUGACUACGUCCCUGUCCUUUGUACACACCGCCCGUCGCUACUACCGAUUGAAUGAUUUAGUGAGGACUUCGGACUGGGACCGAUGCGGCUUUCGGGCUGCGUCGGUAUUCUGGAAAGAUGUCCAAACUGUAUCAUUUAGAGGAAGUAAAAGUCGUAACA